rnacentral:rRNA from 1 species
ACGAUGAUCCCAGCUUGCUGGGGGAUUAGUGGCGAACGGGUGAGUAACACGUAGAGUAACCUGCCCUUGACUCUGGGAUAAGCCUGGGAAACUGGGUCUAAUACCGGAUACGACCAUCUGGCGCAUGUCAUGGUGGUGGAAAGCUUUUGUGGUUUUGGAUGGACUCGCGGCCUAUCAGCUUGUUGGUGGGGUAAUGGCCUACCAAGGCGACGACGGGUAGCCGGCCUGAGAGGGUGACCGGCCACACUGGGACUGAGACACGGCCCAGACUCCUACGGGAGGCAGCAGUGGGGAAUAUUGCACAAUGGGCGCAAGCCUGAUGCAGCGACGCCGCGUGAGGGAUGACGGCCUUCGGGUUGUAAACCUCUUUCAGUAGGGAAGAAGCGAAAGUGACGGUACCUGCAGAAGAAGCGCCGGCUAACUACGUGCCAGCAGCCGCGGUAAUACGUAGGGCGCAAGCGUUAUCCGGAAUUAUUGGGCGUAAAGAGCUCGUAGGCGGUUUGUCGCGUCUGCUGUGAAAGACCGGGGCUCAACUCCGGUUCUGCAGUGGGUACGGGCAGACUAGAGUGCAGUAGGGGAGACUGGAAUUCCUGGUGUAGCGGUGAAAUGCGCAGAUAUCAGGAGGAACACCGAUGGCGAAGGCAGGUCUCUGGGCUGUAACUGACGCUGAGGAGCGAAAGCAUGGGGAGCGAACAGGAUUAGAUACCCUGGUAGUCCAUGCCGUAAACGUUGGGCACUAGGUGUGGGGGACAUUCCACGUUUUCCGCGCCGUAGCUAACGCAUUAAGUGCCCCGCCUGGGGAGUACGGCCGCAAGGCUAAAACUCAAAGGAAUUGACGGGGGCCCGCACAAGCGGCGGAGCAUGCGGAUUAAUUCGAUGCAACGCGAAGAACCUUACCAAGGCUUGACAUGAACCGGAAAGACCUGGAAACAGGUGCCCCGCUUGCGGUCGGUUUACAGGUGGUGCAUGGUUGUCGUCAGCUCGUGUCGUGAGAUGUUGGGUUAAGUCCCGCAACGAGCGCAACCCUCGUUCUAUGUUGCCAGCGCGUUAUGGCGGGGACUCAUAGGAGACUGCCGGGGUCAACUCGGAGGAAGGUGGGGACGACGUCAAAUCAUCAUGCCCCUUAUGUCUUGGGCUUCACGCAUGCUACAAUGGCCGGUACAAAGGGUUGCGAUACUGUGAGGUGGAGCUAAUCCCAAAAAGCCGGUCUCAGUUCGGAUUGGGGUCUGCAACUCGACCCCAUGAAGUCGGAGUCGCUAGUAAUCGCAGAUCAGCAACGCUGCGGUGAAUACGUUCCCGGGCCUUGUA